UGUGUUUUCCAAAAUGUAAAUUUGUUUUCCAAAAUGUUAAUUUGUUUUCCAAAAUGUAAAUUUGUCUCGAGCUUUGUAAAAGUGUUUCAUUCUUUGUAAUGUUGCUUUGCACUUCCCGGCCACCGUAUAAUACAGCUAUUCUGCACUUUGUAACCUAAUGCAGCUAUUCUGCACUUUAUAACCUAAUGCAGCUAUUCUGCACUUUAUAACCUAAUACAGCUAUUCUGCACUUUGUAACCUAAUACAGCUAUUCUGCACUUUAUAACCUAAUACAGCUAUUCUGCACUUUAUAACCUAAUGCAGCUAUUCUGCACUUUGUAACCUAAUGCAGCUAUUCUGCACUUUAUAACCUAAUACAGCUAUUCUGCACUUUAUAACCUAAUGCAGCUAUUCUGCACUUUGUAACCUAAUGCAGCUAUUCUGCACUUUGUAACCUAAUACAGUUAUUCUGCACUUUGUAACCUAAUACAGUUAUUCUGCACUUUAUAACCUAAUACAGCUAUUCUGCACUUUAUUACCAAAUACAGAUAUUCAUGAUUUCCUUUUGAAGACAGCAGUAUAAGUCCACUGUGAAGUCCACUCUGAUAUGAAAAAUGUAUGCACUCACUAACUGUAAGUCGCUCUGGAUAAGAGCGUCUGCUAAAUGACUAAAAUGUCAAUGUAAUGUCCUCUGUGAUGUCCUCUUAGUGGACCCUACAGCAACACUGAGUGAGACUGUCAGUUCAGCCUCCCUCAUACCUCCCCACCUCACCCCACCGGCAUAACAAAACAGGUAACCACUGUGAUGGAAUUUCAAGAUCAUGAACAGACAGACAGACAGACAGACGGACACCUUGCUUGAGGCCCAGGGAAUCUAAUUAGCAGAUUAGCAUUUCCAGCUAAUCCGUUUAAACCACUGUCUCUGGCGUUGGCUAGAGGUGAACUGAUCUGUGUCUCAAACAGUAGUCCUAAAUAGCUUCCUAUAUCUUCAUCUCCUUUCCUUAGUGGCCUUUGGACCAUCAGAUGUAAUGAAGGAGGUGGGACAGAAUAGGAGUAUUGAGACACGUGCUAUAUGAUGGAUGCUGAGCUCCAGCCUAAAGGGUGGGUCCCGUAACCUGAAGCGCAGGCGAGAACACUGUUCUCCAGCCGUGAGGAACUAAUGUAGAGGCUUCAGCGUCAACAGCCCUGGCAUGUGAGCAUUACAGGAUUGUGAAGGACGGUACAAACCCCUGGAGGACCAUACGAGUAGUACAGAGAGGAACCACGGGAGCUGUCUCAACCCUUAUACAAGCUUGAAGGAAAUCUGGGCUGUCUUAGGCCUAGUCUUGGAGAGCUGUAUAAGGUACUGUUUAUCCAUGACCAAAUAUUCAUGUGAUGUCAAAAAAAAUAAAAAAUAAAGAUGAAGAUA